GCGGUUGCUUAUCUAUUUAGUCCUGGUAUCCAGUAAUAUUUCUAAAUCUUCCUCGAAUCAUUUAAGAAACUAGAAAACGUUUCCGUUAUGCGCGUCGACGAUUUGGUUCAGUGUAUUAAAAACGCAGACUGCGAGAGAGCAGACCGUGUCGACUACCCCUAUAGCGAUUAUUAGUUUUACGUAUUUGCCUUUCCUUAAAUCUGAUCAUAAGUCUGUUUGCUAGCCUGUUGGAGACAUUCUUUUUGCCCGGGAGCUGUGCUUAGAAAUUGCCAUACUCCGUAAAUCGCACGCGCUGCUCUUGACCGCUAGGCCUGUAAUGGUUUACCUCACGUGACCAAGGCCUGGUCACCAAACAUCCAAUAUGGCGGCUCGGUGAAGUCUGCAAAAAUUAUUUUUGCACAUCUCUUAUUCUUAAACCAUCCAAGCCUCGAUUCCUAACGUGGUGAUUUUAAAUUUGUCCUGAAAAUCUUCGAGGACUCUUCGAGCGAUCUGGAUGUUGACUAGUUCCUGUCAACCGUCUUCCCAUCGAGAAGGGACGAAAAUGUCGCCACUCCGAGGAGAAACAGAACGACGUUCACUGGAUGUUGAAUUGUAUUGUAUCGUCCCUGGAGCAGGGAUCCUCUAAAGAACUUCUGGUUGAGUUCACGCCUGAGUCCUAUAUGGAGGCCGCUAUCAAUGCGUUUCACGGGCUCAGGCACUACUUCCAUCCUACGACAAAUUUCGACGAUAUUCCAGGUACAAUUUCUUGUUUGUGAGAGUGUUUUUCUGUUAAUCUUAUUAUUAUUAUUAUUAAUCUUGUAAGCGAGUGCUUUUACUGGUUAUAAUCUUGUGUUCAAGACGUUGCAUAGAGAAAAAUUAUACUAUAACAGUUAUAACACAAGUCUUAUUCGAAUUGACUCGGAAAGUUCAAAGAGCUUUAGAAGCGCUCUAUGCGAGAACUAUUAACGAUGCAAAAUUGCUGAGCGGCAAAAACUUCGAGUUUUUAAACCCUCAUAGUUUGUUGUAGCAGGCAUUUAUCGGAAACUUUUCAUAGAUUAGUAUUAUGUGGAAGCUGAUUGGUUGCAGCGAACGGUUGGUUGAAUUUUUUAAAGAAAUAAGUGAAAAGCUAGCUCGGCCAGCGUAACCCAGGGAAGAGUUGUGUCGGGUACCCGAAACCACAUAAAAGGGCCUUUAGUUGCUAUGACCAAGACCAAACGCUGGUAAAGUCACUUUCCAAAUUUAAUUACCUUUAAUAACUGCAAGGAGCUGAAUUCUACCUCUUUAGCACGGUCAAAGAAAAAAAGCUCGGUCCGUAAAACCCUACAUAUUUCUGUAAUCCGUCGAAACAAAUCUUUUAUAUAGAUAUGCGUAUUAAUUAAUGUUUAUUUUUCUUGCAAUGUAUAAUUUUCUGAAUUUAAUUUAUGUCUUAUUACUGGACACCACGUUUUGUUGCUAUAUUGCCACGUUUUAUUGCCAUACGAAUACCUUUGGUUCAAGUUCAAGUUCAAAGUUCAUUUCAAAGUUACCACUUCACACACGAGGGGACAAAUUCCUGGGACAAUUCGGCAGGUUCAAGUCCCUUCGUGUGAACUAGCCAUUUUUGUCAGAAAUCUAGCCAUAGGGACCAAAAUUUAGUCCUCGUCACUUGUCCCACGAAUUCAAACUGGCGUGAGCUGUUCGUGUGAAUUUUUCGUGUAAACUGUUCGUGGAAAAAGUAAAAUUCGAGUUUUACGACUUUGUAUCAUAAAGUAACCAUCUGUAUCCGUAUUUG